CGUUUUAAAUAUUUAUUUUAUUUUGUUAAGUGUUUUUGGAUAUUUAUCCAUCUUAUAAAUGCAUUAUUUGUGUUGUUUUUAUUAUUAGUUUUUAUAAUUAAAAUAAUUUCAUUCCAGUUAUACGUGUGUGCGCAGGAAAGGAAGAGCAAGGAGGUUACGUUGGAAUUGGUGGAGUUUUUGGAUUUAGCACUGGUGCAAUAUAGUAUAACAACAACGCAGAAACAGUGGAUAAUAACAUGAUAUUGAAAACACAAAGGCGUUAGGCGUCAAUUGGUCCUUCCAUCGGAGUGGAGGUCUCCCUCUUCCUCGGCUUCCACCGAGUCCAUUCGAACAACAUGACCAAGCCCGCGUAGCCGCUGUCUUUUUUCACAACACAUACAGCUCAUCAUUUCAUCUUCUGCGGUAUUCGCCGUUGCCAAUGUUUAAGGGACCAUAAAUCCCCAAAACCUUUCUUUCGAAAACUCCUAGUGCCGUCUCAUCGGAUGUUGACAUCGUCCACGCUUCUUCACCAUAAUGUAGGACGGGAAUGAUGAGGGACUUGUAGAGUUUAGUUUUUGCUCAUCUAGGGAGGACUUUACUUUUCAAUUGCCUACUCAGACCAUAAACAUAAAUACUGGAGGAUUACAAUAGCUACUACUUUU